GAUGAACGCUAGCGACAGGCCUAACACAUGCAAGUCGAGGGGCAACGGGGCGUAGCAAUACGCUGCCGGCGACCGGCGGAUGGGUGAGUAACGCGUAUGCAACCUGCCUUCAGCAGGGGGAUAGCCCGUUGAAAGACGGGUUAAUACCCCAUAACACAGGGGCUCCGCAUGGAGAUUAUUGUUAAAGGGAUGCUUCCUUCGGGGGUAUUCCGGCUGAAGAUGGGCAUGCGUUCCAUUAGGUAGUUGGUUGAGGUAACGGCUCACCAAGCCUGCGAUGGAUAGGGGAACUGAGAGGUUGGUCCCCCACACUGGUACUGGAGACACGGACCAGACUCCUACGGGAGGCAGCAGUGAGGAAUCUUGGUCAAUGGACGGAAGUCUGAACCAGCCAUGUCGCGUGAAGGAGGACGGCCCUAAGGGUUGUAAACUUCUUUUGCUAGCGGAAUAAAGUAUUCCACGUGAUGGGAUAUUGCAAGUACGCUGCGAAUAAGGAUCGGCUAACUCCGUG
rnacentral:rRNA from 1 species